rnacentral:rRNA from 1 species
GUGAACGCUGGCGGAAGGCCUAACACAUGCAAGUCGAACGGCAGCACAGUAAGAGCUUGCUCUUACGGGUGGCGAGUGGCGGACGGGUGAGGAAUACAUCGGAAUCUACUUUUUCGUGGGGGAUAACGUAGGGAAACUUACGCUAAUACCGCAUACGACCUACGGGUGAAAGCAGGGGAUCUUCGGACCUUGCGCGAUUGAAUGAGCCGAUGUCGGAUUAGCUAGUUGGCGGGGUAAAGGCCCACCAAGGCGACGAUCCGUAGCUGGUCUGAGAGGAUGAUCAGCCACACUGGAACUGAGACACGGUCCAGACUCCUACGGGAGGCAGCAGUGGGGAAUAUUGGACAAUGGGCGCAAGCCUGAUCCAGCCAUACCGCGUGGGUGAAGAAGGCCUUCGGGUUGUAAAGCCCUUUUGUUGGGAAAGAAAAGCAGCAGGUUAAUACCCCGCUGUUCUGACGGUACCCAAAGAAUAAGCACCGGCUAACUUCGUG